AACGAACGCUGGCGGCAUGCCUAACACAUGCAAGUCGAACGAGACCUUCGGGUCUAGUGGCGCACGGGUGCGUAACGCGUGGGAACCUGCCUUUAGGUUCGGAAUAACUCAGAGAAAUUUGAGCUAAUACCGGAUGAUGUCUUCGGACCAAAGAUUGAUCGCCUUUAGAUGGGCCCGCGUUGGAUUAGCUAGUUGGUGGGGUAAAGGCCUACCAAGGCGACGAUCCAUAGCUGGUCUGAGAGGAUGAGCAGCCACACUGGGACUGAGACACGGCCCAGACUCCUACGGGAGGCAGCAGUGGGGAAUAUUGGACAAUGGGCGAAAGCCUGAUCCAGCAAUGCCGCGUGAGUGAUGAAGGCCUUAGGGUUGUAAAGCUCUUUUACCCGAGAUGAUAAUGACAGUAUCGGGAGAAUAAGCUCCGGCUAACUCCGUG
rnacentral:rRNA from 1 species